rnacentral:rRNA from 1 species
UAUGUAGGGGGCAAGCGUUGUCCGGAAUUAUUGGGCGUAAAGAGCGUGUAGGCGGUCCGGUAAGUCAGCUGUGAAAGUCAAGGGCUCAACCCUUGAAAGCCGGUUGAUACUGUCGGGCUAGAGUCCGGAAGAGGCGAGUGGAAUUCCCGGUGUAGCGGUGAAAUGCGCAGAUAUCGGGAGGAACACCAAUGGCGAAGGCAGCUCGCUGGACGGUACUGACGCUGAGACGCGAAAGCGUGGGAGCAACAGGG